GAGUUUGAUCCUGGCUCAGGAUGAACGCUGGCGGCGUGCUUAACACAUGCAAGUCGAACGGGGAUGCUUAUGGAAGGGGUGCUUGCACUCUGGAAGUAAGGAUCUUAGUGGCGGACGGGUGAGUAACGCGUGGGUAACCUGCCCCAUACCGGGGGAUACCACCUGGAAACAGGUGCUAAUACCGCAUAAGCGCACGGGAGCGCAUGCUCCUGUGUGAAAAACUCCGGUGGUAUGGGAUGGACCCGCGUCUGAUUAGCCAGUUGGCAGGGUAACGGCCUACCAAAGCGACGAUCAGUAGCCGGCCUGAGAGGGUGGACGGCCACAUUGGGACUGAGACACGGCCCAAACUCCUACGGGAGGCAGCAGUGGGGAAUAUUGCACAAUGGGGGAAACCCUGAUGCAGCGACGCCGCGUGAGAGAGGAAGUAUUUCGGUAUGAAAGCU
rnacentral:rRNA from 1 species